rnacentral:SRP_RNA from 1 species
GCUGGGUGUGGUGGCGCACACCUGUAAUCCCAGCUACUUGGGAGGCUGAGGCAGGAGAAUCGCUUGAACUCAGGAGGAGGCAGGAGAAUCACUUGAACCCGGGAGGCAGAGGUUGCAGUGAGCUGAGAUUGCACCACUGCACUCAAGCCUGGGUGACAGAGCGAGACUCUGUCUCUA